AUUUAGCUGACCAGUCCUAAACAGGACCAAAUACACAUCCUGGAU
rnacentral:hammerhead_ribozyme from 1 species